ensembl:lncRNA
AAGCUUCCCAAAGAUGCCAGCAAGGUGCUAACAGAUAGUGAAGAUAUGAAUGACAUCAUGACAGACAGGAAACGAUAUAAGCGUCGGAAGAGGCGUUAUGGCCGGCGAAGAGACAGCAAGGGCUCUGAGGCAGCUCAAGACAAAAGAGACACUAUAGAGGAUAAAACCAAAUCAACUGUCUUGAAUAGCCCAAUACUUCCUCUGGAAAAAUCAAAGAAUGUGAAGGACCAUGGCAAAGAGAAGCCAAAUAACAGCAAUAAAGACAAAGUCCUAGAAUUUGAGAGAAAUAAGCUCAGAGAGCAGCUUACCUUGGGUCUUCAUCCGAAAGACUCAUCUACCGAGCUGGAACUUAGCGGAGAGAGUGAUAACAAUGAUGUCCAUUCAAAGUCAGGGAAGACCAGGACUGAUAUGAAAAGCCAAGAGAUCCCAGAGAAUGAUGCUUUUGAGAAAAAACAAGUAUUGCAAAAAAAGCUGGAUGCUAUGAUGGAGGUGUUGAAUACAUCAGAUGAGGUGGAGCUGGUGCUGAGAAAUACAGGCAUGACAGAUGAACUGCUAAUGAGUUUUGUGCCAGCAUUGAAGAACAGCCUAUCUGAGGUCACAUUGGUCAACCUCAAUCUUAACCAUAUCGGACCUCCAGGAGUUCAUUUACUACUAGACCUUCUACAGGCCAAAUCAGAGAUCAAGGGACUACUGCUGUUUGGAAAUCAUCUAGGUGAUAUUGGUGUUCAGAUCCUGCUUAGUGGAGUUGCUGAUCUUCAAGAGAAAACAGCAGCAUCACCACGAAUGCCAGCAUAUCCAAGACAAUUCUACCUUACUGAGCCAAGCUUCACACUCAUAGAGUUGGACUUGGGUGGAAAUGGAAUUGGCAGUGAGGGACUGAGAGUAUUAGGCACCUUCAUAAGGUAUCACUCCCAGCUGCAAUAUCUGGGGCUGGCCCAAACAUGUUGCUCUAGCAUGGAGGCCUGGUACAUCUUUUUUGAAAGUCUGACGGUAAACAAUAAACUAACCCACAUCAUUCUAGAUGAGAACAACCUGGGAGACCAAGGAGUCAAACUAUUUGCUGAGGCUCUGCAAAUUAACGAAGGCUUGCGGAAAAUAGACUUGGACCGUAAUAAUUUUGGUGAGGUUGGAGGAAAUGCUCUCAUCGAUGCACUCUCCAG